UACAGAGGUCCCAAGCGUUGUUCGGAUUCAUUGGGCGUAAAGGGUGCGUAGGCGGCGCGGUAAGUCGGGUGUGAAAUCUCGGAGCUUAACUCCGAAACUGCAUUCGAUACUGCCGUGCUUGAGGACUGGAGAGGAGACUGGAAUUUACGGUGUAGCGGUGAAAUGCGUAGAUAUCGUAAGGAAGACCAGUGGCGAAGGCGGGUCUCUGGACAGUUCCUGACGCUGAUGCGCGAAAGCUAGGGUAGCAAACAGG
rnacentral:rRNA from 1 species